CAGUAGCCGCGGUAAUACGAGGGGGGCAAGCGUUGUUCGGAAUUAUUGGGCGUAAAGGGUGCGUAGGCGGUUUGAUAAGUCAUCUGUGAAAUCUCUGGGCUCAACCCAGAGUCUGCAGGCGAAACUGUCGGGCUUGAGUAUGGGAGAGGUGAGUGGAAUUUCCGGUGUAGCGGUGAAAUGCGUAGAUAUCGGAAGGAACACCUGUGGCGAAAGCGGCUCACUGGACCAUAACUGACGCUGAUGCACGAAAGCUAGGGGAGCAAACAGGAUUAGAUACCCGCGUAGUCCCUGUCUCUUAUAC
rnacentral:rRNA from 1 species